GUUGAAUACGACUGAGCAACUGAACUGAACUGAGGAGAACACUGCAGCAUAGGAAGGUUAAGCAGUGUGCCCAGGCUCACAAAAAGCUAUCUGCUCCAUGGCGAGGCCAGGACUUCAAACCCAGAUCUUGCUGAGUUAAAUACAGGCCACUUCUGCCUUGCAGACAGAGUGCUGAGUCCCAGCGGAAGGAAAUGAAGAAUACUGGCUCAGAAUCACGUCAAGUGAUCUCAAUUCAUCCAGGGGUGCUUGCAAAAAUAUGCAACCCAUCAGUUACUUUAAUCUUUAGGUGAGCAUGGCUAAAACUAUAGAAUGACCCUUUGCUUCUCUUCCUUUGCUGAUAUUCUUGAAAUAUUCUAGCGACAGGACAGGAAGAGGCUACUUAGCAGUGAGCCCUACCCGCUCUGACAGCGCUGGUGAGAAGACGUCCGGCAAAGCCAGCAGCAGAGGAUGGGGCAGCCCUCGUGCCGCUGCAGCCCCUCCCCGCCUCCUCUGGGCUGUGCCCCAGCGUGCUAUGCGGGCCCAGUUUUUUC